rnacentral:rRNA from 1 species
AGUGAACGCUGGCGGUAGGCCUAACACAUGCCAGUCGAACGGCAGCACAGUAAGAGCUUGCUCUUACGGGUGGCGAGUGGCGGACGGGUGAGGAAUACAUCGGAAUCUACUUUUUCGUGGGGGAUAACGUAGGGAAACUUACGCUAAUACCGCAUACGACCUACGGGUGAAAGCAGGGGAUCUUCGGACCUUGCGCGAUUGAAUGAGCCGAUGUCGGAUUAGCUAGUUGGCGGGGUAAAGGCCCACCAAGGCGACGAUCCGUAGCUGGUCUGAGAGGAUGAUCAGCCACACUGGAACUGAAACACGGUACAGACUCCUACGGGAGGCAGCAGUGGGGAAUAUUGGACAAUGGGCGCAAGCCUGAUCCAACCAUACCGCGUGGGUGAAGAAAGCCUUCGGGUUGUAAAGCCCUUUUGUUGGGAAAGAAAAGCAGCAGGUUAAUACCCCGCUGUUCUGACGGUACCCAAAGAAUAAGCACCGGCUAACUUCGUG